GCAUAUUGUAGCUUCUCACUUCAAGAGAUUUUGUCUUCUCCUAUUUGGAACCCAUAUACCAUAUGUGAAGAAUCCCAGCCUACCUUGCUGGAGAAAGAUAUAACUUGUGAAGAAGAAAAUGGAUGUCACAGCCAACUGCCAGACAUCUGAAUAAGGUCACCUUGGAUCACUGAGCCCCAGUCAAACCAUCAGAUAAACACAACUGCCUGAAUGAUCCCAAAGAAGAACAGAACUUCUUAUCUGCGCAUAGCCCAAAUUGCUCAUCCUCAGUACUGAAAGAGCCGAGGUCAGAAUGAGAAACACAUCCCCACAGGAUUUCUGACCAUCAGUAACAUGAAUUAGCUGGUGUGCACUCUGCUCUGUAACCCUGGAAUCUCCUUUCUACUCGGAGGGAACCAGAUGUACAGCAUGAAGAAGUAUGCCCUUUGGAAAUGUAAAUGAAUACAGUUAAGAGGCUACACCGCCCUUUAAAGGAGUUCUUCUGAUCUCUUAGGAGCUUUACAUUUUGAAGAAC
rnacentral:lncRNA from 10 species